rnacentral:ncRNA from 2 species
CCCUCCGAGGGGUGCUGCAGCGGUUCGAUAGUCUUAAAUUCCCGCCAGGCUCGGAUGUCCAAACGGCACCCAUUCAUU